rnacentral:tRNA from 1 species
GCGCCGGUGGCUCAAUGGAUAGAGCAUCGGAUUCCGGUUCCGAGGGUUGGGGGUUCGAGUCCCUUCCGGCGUGCCA